rnacentral:rRNA from 1 species
GAUGAACGCUGGCUACAGGCUUAACACAUGCCAGUCGAGGGGAAACGACGGGGAAGCUUGCUUCCCCGGGCGUCGACCGGCGCACGGGUGAGUAACGCGUAUCCAACCUGCCUCUGACUGAGGGAUAACCCGUCGAAAGUCGGCCUAAUACCUCAUGGUAUCGUCUGCGGGCAUCCAACGACGAUUAAAGAUUUCAUCGGUCAGGGAUGGGGAUGCGUCUGAUUAGCUUGUUGGCGGGGUAACGGCCCACCAAGGCUACGAUCAGUAGGGGUUCUGAGAGGAAGGUCCCCCGCAUUGGAGCUGAGACACGGUCCAAACUCCUACGGGAGGCAGCAGUGAGGAAUAUUGGUCAAUGGGCGAGAGCCUGAACCAGCCAAGUAGCGUGCAGGAAGACGGCCCUAUGGGUUGUAAACUGCUUUUAUGCGGGGAUAAAGUGAGGGACGUGUCCCUCAUUGCAGGUACCGCAUGAAUAAGGACCGGCUAAUUCCGUG